UACGGAGGGAGCUAGCGUUGUUCGGAAUUACUGGGCGUAAAGCGUACGUAGGCGGCGAUUCAAGUCAGAGGUGAAAGCCCGGGGCUCAACCCCGGAACUGCCUUUGAAACUAGAUUGCUAGAAUCCUGGAGAGGUUAGUGGAAUUCCGAGUGUAGAGGUGAAAUUCGUAGAUAUUCGGAAGAACACCAGUGGCGAAGGCGACUAACUGGACAGGUAUUGACGCUGAGGUGCGAAAGCGUGGGGAGCAAACAGG
rnacentral:rRNA from 1 species